CUAGCAACUGGACCCCUACUGGGCUUCACCAACAGAAAGUCUCCAUCCGAGCUUCCAUAGCAGAUGACUUCCACCUAUAGCAUCAGCACCUAAGGCAUCCGACAACAGUAAACUCGUCAACAGCCUCGAAAAUAUCUGAGCUUCUCCUAGAUCGGUAGUAUAGAGAGCUAUUUCUCUCCAUUAGACAUCCCAGUCAAGCUCCAGCCGAU
rnacentral:lncRNA from 1 species